ACGGGUGAGUAACACGUGGGUAACCUGCCCAUAAGACUGGGAUAACUCCGGGAAACCGGGGCUAAUACCGGAUAACAUUUUGAACAGCAUGGUUCAAAAUUGAAAGGCGGCUUCGUGCUGUCAGCUUAUGGGAUAGGACCCGCAACGAUCGCAACCCUUGAGCUUAGUUGCCGUGAGGUAAGUUCGGCUCACCAAGGCAACGAUGCCGGUAGCCGACCUGAGGAGGGUGAUCGGCCACACUGGGACUGAGACACGGCCCAGACUCCUACGGGAGGCAGCAGUAGGGAAUCUUCCGCAAUGGACGAAAGUCUGACGGAGCAACGCCGCGUGAGUGAUGAAGGCUAUUCGGGUCGUAAAACUCUGUUGUUAGGGAAGAACAAGUGCUAGUUGAAUAAGCUGGCACCUUGACGGUACCUGAACCAGAAAGCCACGGCUAACUACGUGCCAGCAUGCCGCGGUGAAUACGUAGGUGGCAAGCGUUAUCCGGAAUUAUUGGGCGUCAAAGCACGAGAG
rnacentral:rRNA from 1 species